GACGAACGCUGGCGGCGUGCUUAACACAUGCAAGUCGAACGGAAAGGCCCUGCUUUUGUGGGGUGCUCGAGUGGCGAACGGGUGAGUAACACGUGAGUAACCUGCCCUUGACUUUGGGAUAACUCCAGGAAACUGGGGCUAAUACCGGAUAGGAGCUCCUGCUGCAUGGUGGGGGUUGGAAAGUUUCGGCGGUUGGGGAUGGACUCGCGGCUUAUCAGCUUGUUGGUGGGGUAGUGGCUUACCAAGGCUUUGACGGGUAGCCGGCCUGAGAGGGUGACCGGCCACAUUGGGACUGAGAUACGGCCCAGACUCCUACGGGAGGCAGCAGUGGGGAAUAUUGCACAAUGGGCGGAAGCCUGAUGCAGCAACGCCGCGUGCGGGAUGACGGCCUUCGGGUUGUAAACCGCUUUCGCCUGUGACGAAGCGUGAGUGACGGUAAUGGGUAAAGAAGCACCGGCUAACUACGUGCCAGCAGCCGCGGUGAUACGUAGGGUGCGAGCGUUGUCCGGAUUUAUUGGGCGUAAAGGGCUCGUAGGUGGUUGAUCGCGUCGGAAGUGUAAUCUUGGGGCUUAACCCUGAGCGUGCUUUCGAUACGGGUUGACUUGAGGAAGGUAGGGGAGAAUGGAAUUCCUGGUGGAGCGGUGGAAUGCGCAGAUAUCAGGAGGAACACCAGUGGCGAAGGCGGUUCUCUGGGCCUUUCCUGACGCUGAGGAGCGAAAGCGUGGGGAGCGAACAGGCUUAGAUACCCUGGUAGUCCACGCUGUAAACGGUGGGUACUAGGUGUGGGGUCCAUUCCACGGGUUCCGUGCCGUAGCUAACGCUUUAAGUACCCCGCCUGGGGAGUACGGCCGCAAGGCUAAAACUCAAAGGAAUUGACGGGGCCCCGCACAAGCGGCGGAGCAUGCGGAUUAAUUCGAUGCAACGCGUAGAACCUUACCUGGGUUUGACAUGGAUCGGGAGUGCUCAGAGAUGGGUGUGCCUCUUUUGGGGUCGGUUCACAGGUGGUGCAUGCCUGUCGUCAGCUCGUGUCGUGAGAUGUUGGGUUAAGUCCCGCAACGAGCGCAACCCUUGUUCACUGUUGCCAGCACGUUAUGGUGGGGACUCAGUGGAGACCGCCGGGGUCAACUCGGAGGAAGGUGGGGAUGACGUCAAGUCAUCAUGCCCCUUAUGUCCAGGGCUUCACGCAUGCUACAAUGGCUGGUACAGAGAGUGGCGAGCCUGUGAGGGUGAGCGAAUCUCGGAAAGCCGGUCUCGGUUCGGAUUGGGGUCUGCAACUCGACCUCAUGAAGUCGGAGUCGCUAGUAAUCGCAGAUCAGCAACGCUGCGGUGAAUACGUUCCCGGG
rnacentral:rRNA from 1 species